rnacentral:piRNA from 1 species
UAUAUUCUUAAAGAGAACCUUCGAUGCUGC